rnacentral:rRNA from 1 species
AUUCCGGUUGAUCCUGCCGGAGGCCAUUGCUAUCGGAGUCCGAUUUAGCCAUGCUAGUUGCACGGGUUUAGACCCGUAGCAGAAAGCUCAGUAACACGUGGCCAAACUGCCCUAUGGACACCAAUAACCUCGGGAAACUGAGGCUAAUGGGUGAUACAGCUCUCAGCCUGGAGUGGCGAGAGCUGGAAACGCCCCGGCGCCAUAGGAUGUGGCUGCGGCCGAUUAGGUAGACGGUGGGGUAACGGCCCACCGUGCCGAUAAUCGGUACGGGUUGUGAGAGCAAGAGCCCGGAGACGGUAUCUGAGACAAGAUACCGGGCCCUACGGGGCGCAGCAGGCGCGAAACCUUUACACUGCACGACAGUGCGAUAGGGGGACUCCGAGUGCGAGGGCAUAUAGUCCUCGCUUUUCUGUACCGUAAGGUGGUACAGGAACAAGUGCUGGGCAAGACCGGUGCCAGCCGCCGCGGUAAUACCGGCAGCACGAGUGAUGGCCGCUAUUAUUGGGCCUAAAGCGUCCGUAGCUGGCCAGACAAGUCCGUUGGGAAAUCGGCGUGCCUAACACGUCGGCGUCCGGCGGAAACUGUCUGGCUUGGAGCCGGAAGACCCGAGGGGUACGUCCGGGGUAGGAGUGAAAUCCCGUAAUCCUGGACGGACCACCGAUGGCGAAAGCACCUCGGGAAGACGGACUCGACAGUGAGGGACGAAAGCUGGGGUCUCGAACCGGAUUAGAUACCCGGGUAGUCCCAGCCGUAAACGAUGCUCGCUAGGUGUGCCGUAGGCUACGAGCCUGCGCUGCGCCGUAGGGAAGCCGUGAAGCGAGCCGCCUGGGAAGUAACGUCUGCAAGGAUGAAAACUUUAAAAGGAAUUUGGCGGGGG